CAAACGAACAGAAAAUAACAAGGAAAAAAAAUGUCCGUGCCCUUAGGUUUUUUUAUGUACAGACGUUGUUAAAAUUUUUGUCAAUCCCCAGUAAUUCGUAAUCGUGUAAAGAGCGACGAAAAAAAGCGCCAGAAAAACUAAAAAAUAGUUGGAGAAUGAGAAACAAAUGAUUUAAGAGAAAUACACAAUUUACUGAGUUUUGCUGAUAAUGCGUAACCGCAUGACAAACAAUUAUUAUUAUAUUUCAUUGAAAUAAUAAAAAAUCCAAUUGUUUCUAAAAUUCGUGUAACAAAACAC
rnacentral:lncRNA from 1 species